GAUGAACGCUGGCGGUGUGCCUAAUACAUGCAAGUCGAACGACAAGACAGUAGUGGUUUGCUCUUCUGGCGUUCGCGGCGGAGAGGGGUGUAACACGCAGGUAACCUUCCUAUUUCGCGGGGGUUACCUCAGGAAACCGGACCCUAUUACGGCAAAUAUUUAGCUUCUGAUGGAACAAGAUCUUCAGACCUUUCUCGUUUGACUUAUCGGAUGUCCCGUGGGGUAUUAGCUAGUUGGAGGGGUAACGGCUCACCAAGGCGACGAUACGUAGCCGAUCUGAGAGGAUGAUCGGCCACACUGGAACUGAGACACGGCCCAGACUCCUACGGGAGGCAGCAGUAGGGAAUCUUCCGCAAUGGGCGAAAGUCUGACGGAGCAAUGCCGCGUGAGUGAAGAAGGUUUUCGGAUCGUAAAACUCUGUUGUAAGGGAAGAACAGGUACGGUAGUAAAUGAACGUACCUUGACGGUACCUUAACAGAAAGCCACGGCUAACUACGUG
rnacentral:rRNA from 1 species